rnacentral:lncRNA from 1 species
UGAACCAUUUUCCUUAAAACAUGAAUGCAUAUGGGCCGUCAAGGCCUCUAACAUACUAUACAAAAUGAACCUUUAUCUACAAAGCUUUUAAGAUUAUUUGACAUCAAAUGGUACAUGGUAUCGGCCUACCCAUAAGUUUGUAGCAAUAUUCUGACACGAUGACUCAUAGACUCGGCUGCCCUCCAAAUGAGGUGGAGCCUUACCGAUCCUUCGUUGAAUGCCAAUCUCGUCUACUAUGAGAGCUCGUCAAACUGAUUAUCUAUUCCUGCAGGCAUGAAUGUAACGUCCCCAACAAAAGGACGUCAGUACGAAUAAUGUACUGAGUAUGUAAGGCAGAACUGAAAUAUAUUGGUAAAUCAACAUUUAUUUAAAAGCAUGGAAGAAACAUGGAGUAAAGGAUUCAACCUGUAAGUUUGAAUAGCUCUGUAAAUCAUGAAAUGUUUAUAAUGCCAUGCACAUGCGUAUAAAUAUCACAUGAUGCAUAGGUCUGUACGUACAUAACAUCAUCAAGUCUCUGAGGGCAUCCCAUCAUAUCAUCUCGGCCACUGUGGGCAAAUCAUCAACGUAUACCAGCUGAUCAGGUGGUGGUGCGUAUAUAAUAUCGUAACCUUUUCC